UACGUAGGGGGCGAGCGUUGUCCGGAAUCAUUGGGCGUAAAGAGCGUGUAGGCGGUCCGGUAAGUCGGCUGUGAAAGUCCAAGGCUCAACCUUGGGAUGCCGGUCGAUACUGCCGGACUAGAGUUCGGAAGAGGCGAGUGGAAUUCCCGGUGUAGCGGUGAAAUGCGCAGAUAUCGGGAGGAACACCUAUGGCGAAGGCAGCUCGCUGGGACGUUACUGACGCUGAGACGCGAAAGCGUGGGGAGCAAACAGG
rnacentral:rRNA from 1 species